AACUAAUUUGCAUCGAACAGAGCAAUAUUUUAAGGAGCUCACUGCAAGAUGGAAGAGACAAGCAACAUCUCCUCUCUAAAUCAGCAGCUGUGAGGACAGUGAAUAGAGAAGAGGUAGCAUUCUUCUUUUUAAGAAGAGAAAAAGAACUGACAGAUGUCCAAACCAGAAGUUCAACACAAGUGGAGAGAUGUGUAAUUGACUGGAAGAAAAAUAAAAACAAUUUCUUUAAAGGAAA